UACGUAGGGGGCAAGCGUUGUCCGGAAUCAUUGGGCGUAAAGCGCGUGUAGGCGGCUCCGUAAGUCCGUUGUGAAAGUCCAGGGCUCAACCCUGGAAUGCCGAUGGAUACUGCGGAGCUAGAGUCCGGAAGAGGCGAGUGGAAUUCCUGGUGUAGCGGUGAAAUGCGCAGAUAUCAGGAGGAACACCAAUGGCGAAGGCAGCUCGCUGGGACGGUACUGACGCUGAGACGCGAAAGCGUGGGGAGCAAACAGG
rnacentral:rRNA from 1 species